CCUACGGGUGGCAGCAGUGAGGAAUAUUGGUCAAUGGACGCAACUCUGAACCAGCCAUGCCGCGUGCAGGAAGACGGCCCUAUGAGUUGUAAACUGCUUUUGUACGAGGAUAAACUCAGUCACGUGUAUCUGUUUGCAAGUACCGCAUGAAUAAGGAUCGGCUAAUUCCGUGCCAGCAGCCGCGGUAAUACGGAGGAUUCAAGCGUUAUCCGGAUUUAUUGGGUUUAAAGGGUGCGUAGGCGGUCGGUUAAGUGAGAGGUGAAAUCCCGCGGCUCAACCUCGGAAUUGCCUCUGGUACUGGGCGGCUGGAGAGUAGUGGAGGUAGGCGGAAUGCAUGGUGUAGCGGUGAAAUGCUUAGAGAUCAUACAGAACACCGAUUGCGAAGGCAGCUUACCGAGGUAUUUCUGACGUUGAGGCACGAAGGCGUGGGGAGCGAACAGGAUUAGAUACCCGAGUAGUC
rnacentral:rRNA from 1 species